GUCACAGGGCUGGAGACACGUUGUACCUGUUUGUGGAAGGAGACGCGGUUGGGAACUAGUGGAAAUCCAUGAUGCUGAUUAAGCGGAGGAAUUAGCCAUUCUGCGAUGGAUUCCUGGCCCCCUCCCCUGGUUUUUCCAAAGCUUGAAGAGAAGAAUCCACCUUUUCCUGCAGACACCGCUCCACACAGGGCGGCACCGAGAAGCGCCGCUCAGAGCUUGGCCAAGGAGGAGGGCAGGUGAGGGCGACACGGGGGCCUCCGGGUCCUGGCACAGACCCCGCCAUGCGGAAGAGGAGGUGCCAAACCACCUCAGUUCUGCUUCACGAAGGCCCCCAGUCCCUUCCACCCAGGCCCCGAUCCCGCUCCUGUUCAUUAGGCUGACGUCGCGGAAUUUACUAGAAGAAAGGCCGUCUGCCCAUCUGCGAUCCAGGUCUCAGCGGCUUCUGUGUUGUCAUGUGACACGGCAGUUACCAUGGCAAUUAUCAGUGGAGAGCGGAUUGUCCACGAGUUGAACUUGCCUCUGACAAGUCGAAUUUGUCAGUUUGGGGAAAAUGUAAAGAGAGUUACUAAGUUUUCUUCUUCUUUUGUUUUUUCUUCUGGAAGAUUCCCUGGACUCCUGCAGACACCUCCUCCCUCCUCCUGGCUGGGUAGCCUUUUCCACGCUGGACUCCAGGGCUGCUUCCUCCUCUCCUGAGAUCUGCAGCAGCUUUGAGAAAUCUGUGCAGCCGGCUCAGGGUCCUCUGUGAUUAUUUCGGGGUGAAAGAAAACAUCCUGCUACUGCACCAUGGUCCUAAUGAGGGGGCUCCCCUCACGGGCUCCCCUGUCGGAGGCAGGGAUGGUCUGCGAUUCCUCAAGAGUGUUUAGCUAAGGAUCAUGAGUGUGUGUGCACGCCCCUUGACCUUGCCCCUCACCAGGGAAUGGCAUGGUCUGGCUUUGUCAGACUGAGAAGGAAAGGCCCUGGGACAGAAGCUUCUCCAUGGAGCCCCCGACUGCAGGAAGCAGGGGUGGAGCUGUGGAGGGAGGCAGGCUGGCGUCUGCCUGAGAGAGGCCGUCAGCAGGGUUGUCUCCCGUGUGGGCAGGUCCCCUCCUGGACUCAAAUGCCCGUGCCCCUCCUGGCUUCUCCUUUGGCUGAGGCCUUGUCAGGGCUCAAGGUCACAGGUGCCUUCACCAGUCUCUCACCUCUGAAGGACAUUUUGUCUGAAGGAUGACCAAGAGCCAGGAGCCAGUGCUGGCUACAGGUACUGGACCCGGGCGACACCUGAGAAGGCCUUUGACCUCGGAUACAUGCCUGUCCUCCUGGAAGCUGUCAUCGUUGGGAUCUGAAAUGUCCCCGAAGGCCAGGUAUUAAAGGAGUGGC
rnacentral:lncRNA from 1 species